UGAGCAGCUGCAUUUCUCGGAGCAGAAGGUCCAUGUCGGGUUUUAGGGCUCCAGUGGUUUGUUCCAAGGGGGUCAGCGGAGCGCAGGCCGGUGGCCCAGCAGUGGGGGCUCCGCCCGCGGGGAACAGCAGCCCGGCUGAGGUGGUGUUAGGGACGGAGGUGACCGACGGGACCGAUACGGACAGCGGGGGCUUUCUGAAGGAAAGCGGCUUGUUACCGGGCGCCAAAGCCGCAGCCUGUGGGACCGGGACGGUGGUGGACGCCACGUCCAAGGGAGAACCUGUGAACGCAACACACAGAGAGCCGCACGGCUGAAAUCCUUCUCGCAAGGGCUGCGGGAAGGCGAACUGCAGCGGCGUGUCGCGCUUCUGAGGGUGCAGGAGCGUCUCGCACCGCAAGACCACUCCGCCGAGGGCCGCGCCGCGAGCCUCCACCUGGCCCAUCACCCUCAGCACCGGCGCCUGGAACAGCUCUGCGGAGAGGAGGCCCAGUGGCUAAGGAUGCACUUUAGGCCGGCGCAAGGGUCCCAGGGAACCAGCCUAGAAGGGGGUCGCUGCGCCUGCUUCGCAAGACGCUCAGGAGCAGUUCCCUCGCCCCAGCCCCACAGUGAUCCCAUCUACUGCCGCUGUCUUUCUGGCUGGGGCUGCGGAGAGAGCUGCCCCCAAUAUGGGGGUCUCAACCCGGAGUAAGAAGCUGGAUGUGUACCGGGGAGAAGGGACACCUGCCGCCACGCAGGCUACAGAUUAAGGGCGACUUCACUGAGGAGGAAGAGAGGAGAACGUGUACUUGGACCCGCAGAGAAAUCCACCAUGUGCCAGCUACUGUAACCUCCGCGCCUCCUUUCCCCGCCUGGUUUCUGUCCCAGAAUUUCCCAGGGCUCGUUUGCCUCCCUCCGCGGCCCCGAGUCUCCCCCACCUUGCACGGUCACGGCCACCUUGGCGGAGAACAUGGGCGCGCUCUCCACCGGGAUGCGCAUGGUGCCGGAGCACUGGUAGCGCCCGCUAUCGCUGGCGCGCGCCUGGGGCACCGUGUAGUUGGCGCUGGAGUGGAAGUAGCGCACGGGUUGGCCGUCGUGGUAGUAGUGAAGUUUGUAGACGACCUUGUCGUACCAACCGCGGCAGCGCAUGACCAGCGGCUCGCCCUCGAACACCGCAGCAUAGGGCACUUGCAGGAUCAGCCAGUCUACGACAGUCAGCACAGACAGACUCCAAGAGAAAGUCCAGCCUGGGUCUGCCAUACUUCUCCGCCUCCCUGCUCCCCCGUCCUCCCCCUUUCUCCUCACCAACUCCCUCCCCCCUUACUGGGCACCCCAGGAGCCUCAGAACAAGAAGCAUCAGAAGGUGAGUGGGAAGGAAAGGGGAAGACCAGCCUUUUAUUAGGUACUAAGAAGACAAAGAUGCCUGAGACUUGGUUCCAGCCUCAAAGAGUCAUGCCCGUCAGAAUCCAGUUUAAACUCCUUAGGAUGGUAUCAGGGCCUUCCUGACCUGGCCUCUGCCUACCUUUUCAGCACCAUCUCAGGAUUCUCCCCUGCCCCAUGUCUCCUUUUCUCUCUCCACCUUCCAUUCCUAAUGCAGACUAAGUCCGUGCAUCCUGGACUGCUGGGAGAACUGGCCCUGCUCUGAGCCCAGAGGCUUUGUACCUGCCAAGAAGACCCCUUCACCUGCUGUAGUUGAGGCCUGCUUAUCCUGCAGACCUGGGCUUAGAUCCUGUCUCCUUGAGAAAACUUACCCGACCCCACCCCCAGACUUAGACACCUCCCCCAGCACCCUUAUGUACCUGAUCACCAUCAUCACCAUAGCCAACACUUAACAUAGCCCUGGUGUCUGCUAGAUGCCACUUUAGGUGUUUUCCAUCGAGAAAGAAUUCCGCAAGUGAUAGCCACAAUCUCUGUGCUACUCGCAGUUCUGCAAGCAGUGACUACCGUCUAUCAUAUUCAAUAUCUUAUCUGUACUCGCUAUCAAUUUCCCAACAAGAAACCACAGAGUAUGGAUGUGAAGUAUAAGUGCUAAUCUGAACACUGAGUGAUGGUCUUUAAAUUCUGAAUACAAAAUAUAGCCUACCAGGCUAAAAUGACAUAAUAUUCCCAACAAGGUAGCCAAUCCUGUGCCCUAAUGAACAGAUUACUGUUAUUUCUCUUAUCCUGUUUGGAAAUCCUUUAUCCCCCAGGGAAUUAGUUUCUUAAUUGACUCUUCUGUACGCAUGUGUACGUGUCUAUAAUAAAAUUUUGCUGAAGUGCUUUC